CGGGGCGUAGCGCAGUCUGGAUAGCGCACCUGAAUGGGGUUCAGGUGGUCGGAGGUUCAAAUCCUCUCGCCCCGA
rnacentral:tRNA from 1 species